rfam:Pseudomonas sp. HTK17 Contig_3, whole genome shotgun sequence.
UGUCGGUCCCCCCGCAACGAUCAACCGUGAACCCGGUCAGGCCCGGAAGGGAGCAGCCGCAGCGGUGAUGUCGUGUGCCGGGGUGUGGCUGGCGGGG